GCCGGUGCGCCACCGUUGGAGAGGUGGGCCCGCCUCGUAAGCGGGAAGCAGCGGGUUCGAAUACCGCCACCGGCU
rnacentral:tRNA from 1 species